UGGGCGUAAGGGCUCGCAGGCGGUUUCUUAAGUCUGAUGUGAAAGCCCCCGGCUCAACCGGGGAGGGUCAUUGGAAACUGGGAAACUUGAGUGCAGAAGAGGAGAGUGGAAUUCCACGUGUAGCGGUGAAAUGCGUAGAGAUGUGGAGGAACACCAGUGGCGAAGGCGACUCUCUGGUCUGUAACUGACGCUGAGGAGCGAAAGCGUGGGGAGCGAACAGGAUUAGAUACCCUGGUAGUCCACGCCGUAAACGAUGAGUGCUAAGUGUUAGGGGGUUUCCGCCCCUUAGUGCUGCAGCUAACGCAUUAAGCACUCCGCCUGGGGAGUACGGUCGCAAGACUGAAACUCAAAGGAAUUGACGGGGGCCCGCACAAGCGGUGGAGCAUGUGGUUUAAUUCGAAGCAACGCGAAGAACCUUACGAGGUCUUGACGUCCUCUGACAACCCUACACAUAGGGCUUUCCCUUCGGGGACAGAGUGACAGGUGGUGCAUGGUUGUCGUCAGCUCUUGUCGUGAGAUGUUGGGUUAAGUCCCGCAACCAGCGCAACCCUUG
rnacentral:rRNA from 1 species